UACAGAAAUGUGCUGAUAUCCAAAUGGGACC
rnacentral:piRNA from 1 species